rnacentral:rRNA from 1 species
AUCCACGCCUUAAACGAUGAUUACUCGAUGUGUGCGAUACACAGCACGCGUCCUAGCGAAAGCGUUAAGUAAUCCACCUGGGGAGUACGAUCGCAAGGUUGAAACUCAAAGGAAUUGACGGGGGCCCCGCACAAGCGGAGGAGCAUGUGGUUUAAUUCGAUGAUACGCGAGGAACCUUACCUGGGCUUGAAAGUUAGUGACCGUCUGUGAAAGCAGACUUUCCGCAAGGACACGAAACUAGGUGCUGCAUGGCUGUCGU